UUGACCUCGGAUCAGGUAGGACUACCCGCUGAACUUAAGCAUAUCAAUAAGCGGAGGAAAAGAAACCAACAGGGAUUGCCCCAGUAACGGCGAGUGAAGCGGCAACAGCUCAAAUUUGAAAUCUGGCCUUCGGGUCCGAGUUGUAAUUUGGAGAGGAUGCUUUUGGCGCGGCGCCGUCCGAGUUCCUUGGAACAGGACGCCAUAGAGGGUGAGAGCCCCGUACGGGCGGCCGCCUAGCCCUCUGUAAAGCUCCUUCGACGAGUCGAGUAGUUUGGGAAUGCUGCUCAAAAUGGGAAGGUAAAUUUCUUCUUAAAGCUAAAAUACUGGGCCAGAAGAACCGAAUAGCGCACAAAU
rnacentral:rRNA from 1 species